rnacentral:lncRNA from 1 species
GAGCGACAUCAUCCGGAUGGGACGGAACGAUAUCUCUAAUAACGUGCACGACGAUCGUAGUCCAAGCGAUGUUUCGCAUCUACUCUAUUCUACUCUACUCUACUCUACUCUACUAUCAUCUAACCUACGUGCGAUUACCAUUGUGUGAACGAUCCAACGCGUAUACUACGUGGGACUCCGACUAAACCAGAGGAGAUCGGAGUAUCCGGAGAAGAUCGAGAAACGGAGGUGGUGCGAAAGUAAAAGAGAUAGUAGGAAUUUGGUUUAAAGAUUGUAUAAGAUAACAAGGGAUGGAAAUAAGUAACGUAUGCCGAAAUAAAAGUUCACGUUCUGCUCCUUUUCAUCAAGCCAAACUGACAAAAUAGAAAAAGGUCAGCCAAACGAUACCGAGAUGGCCGUCUGUUUCACUCCGAAAAAUGUACUUUUCACCGUAGGACGAUAACUUGGAACGUUUAGGUGUUUCACCUUCCUGUCCGCUCCACCGGUGGCCAGGAUUCUGUCGACUGGAGACCAUUUUACGGCGUACACUUCUCCCUCGUGAG